GUGUUUGAUAAAGGAGGUGAUCUGAUCAAAGCUUAAAACAGAGAAGGAUCAGAGAUGGGUUGGCUUUUAACUGCUAUCCUAAGCAGCUUGGUGGGGAUGUGUGUUUCUUUCUGCUGUGGCCUCUGCGGCCUCUGCUGUGGCCUCUGCAACCCCGGUCGAUAAAUGAUUUAUCAAUAUGCAAGAAAUAAUAGCUUGGAUGCGUGAGAUUGAUGUUUUCAUGUUGCUUUGGUUUAGCAACUUACGUAUGGUGCUUCCAUGCGUUCUGUUUGCCAAAUGCAAUACUGAUAUUCUAUCUUAACUUCCCAUUCCUUAGCUAGUUUGGUUUUCUUUUAGGUUUGAAUAUGGCAUGUAAUGAUGACAAAGCAUCUUAUGAUGAUUUCUCAAUAAUGUGUGCUUGUAAUUUGAUGUAUUGGUAUUAAUCUUUGGUAGUUAAGUUGAAAUU